AUGCCUUACACAUGCAAGUCGAACGGUAACAGGUCUUCGGAUGCUGACGAGUGGCGAACGGGUGAGUAAUACAUCGGAACGUGCCCGAUCGUGGGGGAUAACCGAAGCGAAAGCUUUGCUAAUACCGCAUAAGAUCUACGGAUGAAAGCAGGGGACCGCAAGGCCUUGCGCGAACGGAGCGGCCGAUGGCAGAUUAGGUAGUUGGUGGGAUAAAAGCUUACCAAGCCGACNAUCUGUAGCUGGUCUGAGAGGACGACCAGCCACACUGGGACUGAGACACGGCCCANACUCCUACGGGAGGCAGCAGUGGGGAAUUUUGGACAAUGGGCGAAAGCCUGAUCCAGCCAUGCCGCGUGCAGGAUGAAGGCCUUCGGGUUGUAAACUGCUUUUGUACGGAACCGAAAAGACUCUGGUUAAUACCUGGGGUCCAUGACGGUACCGUAAGAAUAAGC
rnacentral:rRNA from 1 species